rfam:Tetranychus urticae London genomic scaffold, scaffold_2
ACCAAUCUCCUUGUGGAAGACUAGUGAUUUUGUUGUUUGUCUGUUAGUAAUUAAACAAGAAAUCGCUAGCUUCCGAUGGAGAAUUGGA